AGCCAAUAGAUACCCGGGUAGUCCACGCCCUAAACGAUGUCUACUAGUUGUUGGUGGAGUAAAAUCCAUGAGUAAACGCAGCUAAACGCGUGAAGUAGACCGCCUGGGGAGUACGGUCGCAAGAUUAAAACUCAAAGGAAUUGACGGGGGCCCGGCACAAGCGGUGGAUUAUGUGGAUUAAAUUCGAUGCAACGCGAAAAACCUUAACCUGGCCUUGACAUGCCACUAACGAAGCAGAGACGCAUUAGGUGCCCGUAACGGGAAAGUGGCACAGGUGCUGCAUGGCUGUCGCCAGCUCGUGUCGUGAGAUGUUGGGUUAAGUCCCGCAACGAGCGCAACCCUUGCCAUUAAUUGCCAUCAUUUAGUUGGGCAC
rnacentral:rRNA from 1 species